GACCACUCCGGUGGCCUAGUGGUUAAAGCGUCCACCUCGGAUGCUGGAGGUAGUGGGUUCUAUCCCCGGUCGAGUCA